rnacentral:rRNA from 1 species
UACGGGGGAGCAAGCGUUUGUUCGGAUUUACUGGGCGUAAAGGGCGCGUAGGCGGCCAGCACAAGUCAGUUGUGAAAUCUCCGGGCUUAACUCGGAAAGGUCAACUGAUACUGUGCGGCUAGAGUGCAGAAGGGGCAACUGGAAUUCUCGGUGUAGCGGUGAAAUGCGUAGAUAUCGAGAGGAACACCUGCGGCGAAGGCGGGUUGCUGGGCUGACACUGACGCUGAGGAGCGAAAGCGUGGGGAGCGAACAGG